AGACUGAACGCUGGCGGCAGGCCUAACACAUGCAAGUCGAGCGGCAGCACGGGUACUUGUACCUGGUGGCGAGCGACGGACGGGUGAGUAAUGCCUAGGAAUCUGCCUGGUAGUGGGGGAUAACGCUCGGAAACGGACGCUAAUACCGCAUACGUCCUACGGGAGAAAGCAGGGGACCUUCGGGCCUUGCGCUAUCAGAUGAGCCUAGGUCGGAUUAGCUAGUUGGUGGGGUAAUGGCUCACCAAGGCGACGAUCCGUAACUGGUCUGAGAGGAUGAUCAGUCACACUGGAACUGAGACACGGUCCAGACUCCUACGGGAGGCAGCAGUGGGGAAUAUUGGACAAUGGGCGAAAGCCUGAUCCAGCCAUGCCGCGUGUGUGAAGAAGGUCUUCGGAUUGUAAAGCACUUUAAGUUGGAGGAAGGCAGUUACCUAAUACGUAUCUGUUUUGACGUUACCGACAGAAUAAGCACCGGCUAACUCUGUG
rnacentral:rRNA from 1 species